UACGUAGGGUCCGAGCGUUGUCCGGAAUUACUGGGCGUAAAGAGCUCGUAGGUGGUUUGUCGCGUUGUUCGUGAAAACUCACAGCUCAACUGUGGGCGUGCGGGCGAUACGGGCAGACUAGAGUACUGCAGGGGAGACUGGAAUUCCUGGUGUAGCGGUGGAAUGCGCAGAUAUCAGGAGGAACACCGGUGGCGAAGGCGGGUCUCUGGGCAGUAACUGACGCUGAGGCACGAAAGCUAGGGGAGCAAACAGG
rnacentral:rRNA from 1 species